CUCUGACAUAAUAGAUGUUAUAAAAAUAAAUAUAAUAUAACAUUGUGUAUCAUUGACAGGGUGAACAUUUACUUGCUUAUUAAGCCUAGUAUUUCUUUGUUUUUAAAUAUUACCUUUUAAAUAAUUAAAAUAAUUAUUACAGACUAUCAGACAUCUACAUUGGGGUAUUGUACUUUCAUUCAUCCUACCAAGUGUUAUUCAUAAAUGUACUCUUAGUCUGGUUCCACCCAUUUUCAGUGGGAGAUAACAUUACCACCACAAGUUUUAUACAGUGGUCUA